rnacentral:lncRNA from 1 species
AAAUGGAGGUCUUGAUACUUGCUAAAAAUCUGUUGCGCAUUCAAAAGGCCUCUUCGUAGUUGAGUAAUCCACCUACAGUUAAGCACAUCUCAACCUGGGUUUCAUUCCUGUCUCCUCCACGUUAUUUUUAGAAGCAGUGAUACAUCUUAACACAUGCUUCCUUAACGCUUUCCUUCAGUAGGUGUUCACGGGGAAGGAGACAGAUCAGUGAAGCCAUAAUGGGCCGUGGAGACCUUCCCUUCUAGGUUAUUGAUUGAGAAUAAAAAUAAGCCACAAAGAGUAAUUGAGUAGUUACUAUUUGAUAGUUCCUUCAAAGCUGGUGUGCAGCAUAAUGAUCAGAGCAGUCCCCUUUCUCAUGAUUGCAUGGAGUCACGGUUUUUUACGGGGUGGCCACAGCAGGCAAGCUGGCAGCAUUGGCCGAGACCAGAGAGUCUCUUGAGUCCAUGUAGGAGGCCUGCCUAUCUCAGACCAGACUCCCUGGUGGAAGAGCCCACUGGCCUAUUUUCUGUGGAGAAUGUGUGUUUUUCUUUUUUUUUUUUUUUUUUUAAAUAUGAUUUGUGAAAAGCCAGUUUGCUUUACAUAGGAAGUAGAGAUUUACUUCUGCAUUUUAUUCACUAAGGUUCAAUAAAAAUCUGGGCCGAUUUCACAACAUUUAACUUACGUAAAAAAUUGAAAACAAUGGGAACUAAUUAGUCAAAUCAUUUUUCUUCCUUUUUGUGUUUUUCCAAGAAGCUGAAAAAUAUUCCUUGGUGUUCAUGAAUCUUUUUUUCCCCCCUAGAUGAAACCACCAUUAGCCUUAAUGAUAUGGUGUCCCUUUUACCUAAAAGAAAUAGGCCUCAGUGGAGCAUGGCAGAGAGUGUAAAUAAAACAUAUAUACAAUAUUUAAAUACUGAGUCCUCGCCUAGAAAAUAUUUGAAUUGUAUAUUUAUUUUAAAACCUAUUUUGGUUCAAGCCAGGANNNNNNNNCAUUUUACUCUCUGAGAUUUGUCCUUUGAAAUCAGUAAUGAAAUGAUCUAUAAAGUCUAUUCUUUGCUAAUGUGAAGUGAAGUGAAAGUUGCUUAGUGGUGUCUGACUCUUUGUGACCCCAUUCUCCAGGCCCGAAUACUGGAGUGGGUAGCCUUUCUCUUCUCCAGGGGAUCUUCCCAAUACAGGGAUUGAACCCAGGUCUCCCGCAUCGCAGGCGGACUCUUUACCAGCUGAACCACAAGGAAAGCCCCAAAAUACUGGAGAUGGUAACCUAUCCCUUCUCCAGGGGAUCUUCCUGACCUAGGAAUCGAACUGUCUCCUGCAUUGCGGGCAGAUUCUUUACCAAACUGAGCUAUCAGGGAAGCCCCAUGCUUUGCUAAUGGGAAGAACAAAUGCUCGUAUUUUCUGUAGAACAUUUGCUUUGAAAUAUGUUUCUAAAGCACAACUUGAUCAAUGUUUAUGGGUAACCAGAAGUGUAGUGAACAAUUACCAAGCUUGCCAACAAGCCCAUCAAGGAGUGUUUAUUUCAGAUCGCUGUUUGGACAGAGGGUGAACAUUUAUGACUUUGUUCUUUGGGUCCAGCCUGGUGUCUGACUGUGUCAUCUUAGGGAGUAUGACAGUAAAGCUAAAUUCUUAACCCAGGAGCCAAUAUCCUGUUUAUAAGUGCUCUGUACAUUUGAAGAUGCUAGAGAAAAUUUACUUUNNNNNNNNNNNNNNNNNNNNNNNNNNNNNNNNNNNNNNNNNNNNNNNNNNNNNNNNNNNNNNNNNNNNNNNNNNNNNNNNNNNNNNNNNNNNNNNNNNNAUAAGUGCUCUGUACAUUUGAAGAUGCUAGAGAAAAUUUACUUUGAAGAGAGAAAAUAGUUAUUUCAACCUCACUCCCAAUAGAGUCACUCAGGUGAUUGUCAAAAUAAGUUCACCCUUUGAUCUAACAGCCAACUUGCAAUUUUCUCUGGCAAGUUGGCCUCUGAGUUUGACUUCCUUAUCUGUAAAAUGGGAAUAAGGAAAUAUGGUCUGCUUUUUCCAAAGGAUGUGUAAGAAUGAACUGAGAUCACACAUGUAAAAAAUGCUUUGCAAACUUACUUGCGUUUGAAUGCUGUGAAAAUAAAAGAUGAACCACUGUUUCUUUAAACUUUUCUGUUCUCAUCUUUCUCUCCAGAUUGGUGACAAACCUGUACUUUGACAUUAAGUUUGAAUGGUACUUAAAGAACUAGUUUAGAAGAGGAGGCAGAUAAAUGUCUAAUCAACCCACCUGCUUUACUUAUUUUAGAAUCUUUGUGAAAUGAAAGUCAGUCGUGUCCGACUCUUUACGA